CCGCGGGCAGAAAACCCUGGCACUUCUCAAAACAAAACGAAUGACUCCAGCUUUUAAUCAGUUUAGGGCCGAGGCCGGGGGAAUUGUGUUUGGUUUUACAUAGACAAAGCCCUUUUUAGGUCUCUGCUGACAUUUCAGAGGACUCUUCGACCGCCCUUUCUGUGUGCGAAUAGCCAGCCACAGCAGCCUGGGUAGGAGGUGCUGGGGCCGGUCCAAGUCGACCCUGCCGGGAGGAGGCCAGAGCCUGGGGCCCAGGGUGGUGAUUUGGCCUUUAUCAACCGGACCCCUCUGUCUGCAGUGAACCCUGGACACUGAUGCCUGCUGACCCUCCACGUACAUGACUAAAGGAGACUCAAGUGACUCUUCUGACACAGGCCAUCUGCUUUGAGGAGUUAUUUUACCAUUACUCAUCAGUUAUUCCCAACUAUGCUGAAAAAGACUAACAUAAUAAGAAAACUGAAGAAUGAUGGAAUUACCUGGAAGGAUGGUGCAACAGUGUCACAAAUCAUCAUUUUAUCAUCCUUCAGAUUUCUGAAUUCACUGCCUAAAAUACUAUAUCAUUUUCCAAGAAGGUAUAAAAGAAGACUGGAGACACCAUCUUUGUGGUCUGCUUUUAGCUUUCAUUUGAUAGAACUGAAAAUUCUGAAAUUUUCAUUUUGUGCUUGUAAAGGCAAUGAGAAAAAAAUUGAUAGAGGAAGAGAUUUCACAAUUAUUACCUAAAUCAGAAGAUGAAUGCAAAGAGGCAGCAGUGUUCUAGAAUAUAAUCAAAUGACGAUAGUGAAAUUAAUUAAGAGAAAUCUUAGCCUGUGAAUCUUUAGAUGAUGAUAUCCUAGAUGAUUUUUUCUCUAAUUCAAUUAUCAAUGAAUUAAGAAUAUAGUUUUAAGGACAAAAAGGAUAUAUGGUUUUUUUAUCUAGUUAUUCACUUAACAAGAUGGACUUAAUUACACAACAUUUUGUGACAAGAGCCUGAACAUUUUUAUUUUGCAAAAGAGACAUAAAAAUAUUCAUUAAUCUUUCAUACUUUUGUGCAACAAAAUUUGCUUGAAGUGGUUUGUAAAUGAGCAAAUGUUGAAGGCAGGUGUGUAUGCAAAGAGGAAACAGAUGAUGUAGAAAUGAAAAUAUUUGUUGGGCUGAAGAUUUUAAAUUAUGUUUUUAAAUCUGAAAAAUGAAAAUGUUUGCAAUUACAGAGCAAAGGAGGUGGCCAUCUUCUCUUCAACAGAAUUAUGAGCCGCUAAAGCUUUCAAAAGUACUGUUUUGAUGAUGCAAAUACAAACUGGAGAACCAUAAGGAAUGAUAAGCUAGACCAAUUAGAGAUACAUUUGAAAUCUGAAAUCCAUAUUUACAAGGUGAGUAUGUUCCAGGUUCAUGAUAUUUGAUGAGUGAAUGGUUUCAGUCAAAGUUUGUUGUCUAUUUCAGGUAUGUUACCUUCAAAACUAGGAAAAUGUAGAAUAAAAUUUUGGGUUUAUUAUAUUUAAAUUCUUAUUAACAGUUCUAACAAAGUUGUUUUUCACUGCCUGUGGUUGUCAAUCUCCAAGAUGGCGCCCACUGAUCCCCGCCUU